GAUGAACGCUGGCGGCGUGCCUAAUACAUGCGAGUCGAGCGAACGGGCGAGAAGCUUGCUUCUCUGAUGUUAGCGGCGGACGGGUGAGUAACACGUGGAUAACCUACCUAUAAGACUGGGAUAACUUCGGGAAACCGGAGCUAAUACCGGAUGAUAUUUUGAACCGCAUGGUUCAAAAGUGAAAGACGGUCUUGCUGUCACUUAUAGAUGGAUCCGCGCUGCAUUAGCUAGUUGGUAAGGUAACGGCUUACCAAGGCAACGAUGCAUAGCCGACCUGAGAGGGUGAUCGGCCACACUGGAACUGAGACACGGUCCAGACUCCUACGGGAGGCAGCAGUAGGGAAUCUUCCGCAAUGGGCGAAAGCCUGACGGAGCAACGCCGCGUGAGUGAUGAAGGUCUUCGGAUCGUAAAACUCUGUUAUUAGGGAAGAACAUAUGUGUAAGUAACUGUGCACAUCUUGACGGUACCUAAUCAGAAAGCCACGGCUAACUACGUG
rnacentral:rRNA from 1 species